rnacentral:snoRNA from 1 species
AUGCAUCUCUGACAGACCUAAAGCAGUUAAUGUCUGCUGCUAAGGUUUCCACUACAGAUGCAUGAAAAAGAAGUUUCUCACAUUUUCUGUCUGUCUCAUUGUAGCAGCCAAAAUUGAAUGAGGGAAUACAGGG